rnacentral:rRNA from 1 species
CGGAAACUGCGAACGGCUCAUUAAAUCAGUUGCGAUCUACUCGGCGUUCCGCGCCGCCGGAUAACCGUAGUAAUUCUAGGGCUAAUACGUGCGAAGCGCCCGAAGCCGCGAGGCGACGGGCGUUCUCGCCGGAUGUAGGAACCGACCCGGGGACCGCCGGGGCAACCCGGCGCCCCCGAGACGGGGCGAACCACGGUGAAAUGACGGAUCGUCGGCCCCGCGCCGGCGACUCGCCGAAUGAGUUUCUGACCUAUCAACUCGAGACGGCGGGGUAGAGGCCCGCCGCGGUAACGACGGGUAACGGGGAAUCAGGGUUCGAUUCCGGAGAGGGGAGCCCCGAGAAACGGCUACCACUUCCAAGGAAGGCAGCAGGCGCGCAACUUACCCUAAUCUCGAUUCGAGGAGGUAGUGACAAGAAAUACCGAUGCGGGACCCUACGGGUGCCGCGUUCGGAAUGAGUACGAUUCG